rnacentral:sRNA from 1 species
UUCAUACUCCUGACGAUAUUAUGCAGC